rnacentral:rRNA from 1 species
UACGGGGGGAGCAAGCGUUGUUCGGAUUUACUGGGCGUAAAGGGCGCGUAGGCGGCCACCGCGAGUCGGUUGUGAAAUCUCUGGGCUUAACCCAGAAAGGUCAACCGAUACUGCGGGGCUAGAGUGCAGAAGGGGCAACUGGAAUUCUCGGUGUAGCGGUGAAAUGCGUAGAUAUCGAGAGGAACACCUGCGGCGAAGGCGGGUUGCUGGGCUGACACUGACGCUGAAGCGCGAAAGCUAGGGGAGCGAACGGG